AAUGGGCGCAAGCCUGAUGCAGCGACGCCGCGUGCGGGAUGGAGGCCUUCGGGUUGUAAACCGCUUUUGUUCAAGGGCAAGGCAGGCUUUCGGGCCUGUUGAGUGGAUUGUUCGAAUAAGCACCGGCUAACUACGUGCC
rnacentral:rRNA from 1 species